UACGAAGGGGGCUAGCGUUGCUCGGAAUGACUGGGCGUAAAGGGCGCGUAGGCGGCGGUCACAGUCAGAUGUGAAAUUCCUGGGCUUAACCUGGGGGCUGCAUUUGAUACGUGGUUGCUUGAGUGGGGAAGAGGGUCGUGGAAUUCCCAGUGUAGAGGUGAAAUUCGUAGAUAUUGGGAAGAACACCGGUGGCGAAGGCGGCGACCUGGUCCUUUUACUGACGCUGAGGCGCGAAGGUCAGGGGAGCAAACGGG
rnacentral:rRNA from 1 species